ensembl:lncRNA
UAAACAAGUGUUUCUUUUCCCAUGGAACCCACCAACAACUCCUGCACUGCAAACAACAUAAAGUUGAGCCACUGCAUUCAUCAUUGUGUAUGAACCUACAAGUCAUAAAUUUUAUAUGCUUUGUCUAAUAUUCAGCAGUUCAUACUUGGGUCACUACCUUUGCAGAGAUGUCGUGUAAAGGCAUUGCUUUAGCACAUUCCGUUGCACAGCAAACCAUCACAAAACAUCUUUUUUUGCACACUUUGGUGAGACCUCUAUUUAAGGUAAAGGAUCUUUUGGAAUUGACAGCUUAUUAACUAGUUGUAAUUCGGGACAUAUUAGCACAAUACGACACAGCCCAGGUCAUUAUUCUAUCCUGAGUUUUAUCAUAUCUCAUUUAACCAGCCAUCAAGUUAGAAUGAGCCACCUGGGAAAUAAUUUCCUGGUGCUAUUUCUUCACCAACAACUGAGUGAUUUCUUCUCCAUGUUCAGUCUCAUGGCAUUACUCUAUACAGUCUAUAGAGACAGCAACUGAUGUCAUCAUCAGGUAAUACUAAAAAAAAAAAAAGACAAACUCUUGAAACUCUAACUCACCCAUUUUAUUGUUUUAUUGUCAGAACAUUUUUCUGUUGAAGAGUGAACUGGUUUGCAGUAAAAUAAAUUGACCACAAGGUGGAGACAAACACAAACGAACUUAAAGAUGCAACCAGAGAUGAACAGCCAGCAGUUUGUGGUUGUAACCAAGCACACCAUUGUUUUUCUUGUGACAUUACCAAUAAGUUUGAUGUGUCACAUGGCCCUCUUCCUAUUGAAAAAACAAAAGUUGUAUCCAAGAUGGCCGACUUCUAAAUGGCCACCAUGGUCACCACACAUCUUGAGGAGUUUGCCCCCUCACAUAUGCUAAUGUGCCACAAACAGGACUUUAAUAACACCAGCCAUUCCCAUGUUAUUACGGUGUAUCCAUAUAAAUGGGCCACCCUGUAGAUUAAAUUUAACAAUAAUUUUCUUACAUGACAUUUGACAAAGGAAACAUUGAACCCUGUCGAUUAAUC